CUCUUAUGUUGUCUGCGCUGUCUUGUUGUGUUUGGAUUUUGGACCUUUGCCUGUUUCCGGAUUUCACUUUGGAUUACUUUGUUUCCGGACUUGUUUCUUCAGCCUCUCAACCUGAGAUCUCACACCUGCAGAAGAAGAUACAGUUUCCACAAGUUUUCCCUCUGCUGCUACCCGAAGAAUCAGCUGUGCCCUGACCCCCUGCCAAUCCAGUACUCCGGCCAUCGUAGGAAUCCCAGCACAGAAGGACUCCGCCGGAUUACCAAGAAGUAAUUUCAAAGGGGAUGUGCAGUAGGAAGUGGAAGGGCCUCAGAGACGCGUAUCUCAAGGAGAAGAAAGAGAAAAGAAGUGGAUCAGCAGCAGGGCCAGCUGCAAGGUGGAAGUAAGAUCUGUCUUACCUUGACCCUGUUGUUACCCCGAGAGAGAUGAGCAGUAACACGGUGCAUUUGAGGACCAGGGUUCAGAGGCAGCAGCAGGGCUGUCAGAGAUUCACAUAGAAGUUGAACAGCCUGGAUGUGUUCAGUGAUGUUACCUGAUAUCCACAGCUCCUGGUGUUGAGUGGACCACAAGCAGAGCAGAGCACACAACAGGAGUUCAGUAAGCCUCACCAGAAAAUUAAUUAAUGAUCUGCUGAAGUCUGAGCAUCACAAAAUUGCUCCAAAAGUUCAAAAGAAAACACUGCUUACACAAACCAACUCGAAGCCUUAUUAUGCACGAGGGUGGUGGUCAGCUAAGUUGAGCAAUAGUUCAGUGAUUUUGCCAUGGGGGAAAAAACUACAAUGAACUAGAAUGACUAGAAGUUUUAACACUGACAUCUAUCUGUUUUUAGAGAUCCACCCUGAGCCACCAGACUGCAAAGAUAAAUGGUCCCCACUUUAGACACAUUUCAGCAUUGUUUAACAUUUAAUAUAUUCAUGCUAUACUCUGUUUACAAUAAUGUGUUGCGCCUCUGAAACAAGAACUAUGUCUGCGCAAAAUUUGUUUGUGUGAUGUUGGCAUUGAUCCAAUGGUAAAAUUAUUCUAGUUUUAUCUGGAGUGUGAUGAAGCAUCACUAUAAAGGAUGGCAUUUUCAAAUUGUUUCACAGAUGCAAGU